rnacentral:rRNA from 1 species
GAUUCGUCACACUAUCAUUAACUGAAUCCAUAGGUUAAUGAGGCGAACCGGGGGAACUGAAACAUCUAAGUACCCCGAGGAAAAGAAAUCAACCGAGAUUCCCCCAGUAGCGGCGAGCGAACGGGGAGGAGCCCAGAGCCUGAAUCAGCAUGUGUGUUAGUGGAAGCGUCUGGAAAGGCGCGCGAUACAGGGUGACAGCCCCGUACACAAAAGCGCAUGUGCUGUGAGCUCGAUGAGUAGGGCGGGACACGUGGUAUCCUGUCUGAAUAUGGGGGGACCAUCCUCCAAGGCUAAAUACUCCUGACUGACCGAUAGUGAACCAGUACCGUGAGGGAAAGGCGAAAAGAACCCCGGCGAGGGGAGUGAAAAAGAACCUGAAACCGUGUACGUACAAGCAGUGGGAGCACCCUUCGGGGUGUGACUGCGUACCUUUUGUAUAAUGGGUCAGCGACUUAUAUUCUGUAGCAAGGUUAACCGUAUAGGGGAGCCGGAGGGAAACCGAGUCUUAA